UACGUAGGGUGCAAGCGUUGUCCGGAAUCAUUGGGCGUAAAGCGCGCGUAGGUGGCUUCGUAAGUCCGUUGUGAAAGUCAAAGGCUCAACCUUUGAAUGCCGAUGGAUACUGCGAAGCUAGAGUACGGAAGAGGCGAGUGGAAUUCCUGGUGUAGCGGUGGAAUGCGCAGAUAUCAGGAGGAACACCAAUAGCGAAGGCAGCUCGCUGGGACGUCACUGACACUGAGGCGCGAAAGCGUGGGGAGCGAACAGG
rnacentral:rRNA from 1 species